rnacentral:misc_RNA from 1 species
GAUGGAAGAACGUAGCGAAAUGCGAUAAGUAAUGUGAAUUGCAGAAUUCAGUGAAUCAUCGAAUCUUUGAACGCACAUUGCGCCCAUUAGCAUUCUAGUGGGCAUGCCUGUUCGAGCGUCAUUUCAACCCUUAAGCCCUGUUGCUUAGCGUUGGGAGCCUACAGUACUGUAGCUCCCCAAAGUUAGUGGCGGAGUCGGUUUCACACUCUAGACGUAGUAAUUUUUUCUCGUCUGUAGUUGAGCCGGUCCCCUGCCGUAAAACACCCAAUUUAUCAAGGUUGACCUCGGAUCAGGUAGGAAUACCCGCUGAACUUAAGCAUAUCAAUAAGCGGAGGA